CCUACGGGAGGCUGCAGUCGAGAAUCAUUCACAAUGGGGGAAACCCUGAUGGGGCGACGACGCGUGGGGGAAUGAAGGUCUGCGGAGUGUAAACCCCUGUCAUGGGGGAGCAAAGUAAAAAGAUAGGACCACAAGAGGAAGAGACGGCUAACUCUGGGCCAGCAGCCGCGGUAAUACAGAGGUCUCAAGCGUUGUUCGGAAUCACGGGGCGUAAAGGGUGCGUAGGCUGUUUCGUAAGUCGUGGGUGAAAGGCGCGGGCUCCACCCGCGGACGGCACAUGAUACUGCGAGACUAGAGUACUGGAGUGGGAACCGGCCUUCUCGGUGUCGCCGUUACAUGCGUCGAUCUC
rnacentral:rRNA from 1 species